rnacentral:rRNA from 1 species
GACGAACGCUGGCGGCGUGCUUAACACAUGCAAGUCGAACGGAAAGGCGCUGCUUUUGUGGGGUGCUCGAGUGGCGCACGUAUGAGUAUCACGUGGGUAACCUGACCAUGACUGUGGGAUAUCGCUAGGAAACUGGGGCUAAUGCCGGAUAGGAGCUCCUGCGCCAGAGGGGGGGUUGGCAACUUUAGGGGGUGGGGGCUGGACUCGCGGCUUACGAGCUUGUUGGUGGGGUAGUGUCUUACGAAGGCGUUGACGGGUGGGCGGCCUGGGAGGGUGACCGGCCACAUUGGGACUGAGAUACGCCCCAGACUGCUACGGGAGGCAGCAGUGGGGAAUAUUGCACAAUGGGCGGACGCCUGAUGCAGCAACGCCGGGUGCGGGAUGACGGCCUUCGGGUUGUAAACCGCUUUCGCCUGUGACGAAGCGUGAGUGACGGUAAUGGGUAAAGAAGCACCGGCUAACUACGUG